rnacentral:sRNA from 2 species
CAUGGACACCGUUCGCACUCACUGACGGCAGGGACGGGGGAACCACCAGUUCCACCGGGCGCCCAGGACCACCUGAGGACGCCCUAGGGGUUAAGUCGCAGCUCACUCGCCGAACAGGGCGCAGGGACUCGACCGGAUGUCUCCCAUCCGAAUCCGACAGCUCACCCCGCAGGCAGAGGAGAGGUACA